rnacentral:rRNA from 1 species
GUUGAACGCUGGCGGCAGGCCUAACACAUGCAAGUCGAACGGAAAAAGGCAGCUUGCUCCUGGUUUCCGCGGGGGACGGGUGAGUGAUACCCAUGAAUAUGCCUGGUAGUGGUGGAUGACGACCGGAAGCGGCCGCUGAUACUACCUACUUCGAGCGGCAGCAGGUUGGUGGUCUUCGGACCGUACGCUCUCAUGUGAGCCUAGGCCGGGUUUAUCAGUUGGUGGGUGAAGGGCCUACCAACCCAGCGAUCCGUAACUGGUCUGAGAGGAAGAGCAGUCACACUGGAACUGAGAGACGGUCCAGACUCCGACGGGAGGAAGCAGUGGGGACUAUUGGACAAUGGGCGAAAGCCUGAUCCAGCCAUGCCGCGUGUGUGAAGAAGGUAUUCGGAUUGUAAAGAACUUUAAGUUGGGAGGAAGGGCAGUAAGUGAAUACCUCGCUGUUUUGACGUUACCAACAGAAAAAGCACCGGCUAACUUCGUG